ensembl:lncRNA
CCUUUAAUGCUGCAACUUUCCUCUCAUUUAAAAUUGAAGCUCAAAGAUCAUCACCCAACCUUCCUCCAGCACGUCUACCACGCUCUCUAGGAGGAAAACCACCUGUCUGGGAAGGACACGUUAGCGGGGGAAUAACCGUUUAGCCAGCCAGUGGUUCUGUCACCCCCCUGCUGCAGGAGUCCUGUGUUGUUCUAGACUUUAUUUGCUUCCUCCCUUGGGGCACUCUGCAAGAAGCUGGAGAAUGUAUUUUUAUCCUGCUGGGUAGAGAGACUGCAAAGGAGGUCACUGUUACAGCUGUGACCUUCUCCUGGAGACAUGAGAUUCCCUGUGGCCAGAAACAGCCCCAGAAGCCUGCGUGUGCAUCUGGGAUACGUGCCGUUUUCCCAGGCUGAGCAGGGAAGGAAGCUGGAGCCCACAAGGUUUAGUGAUUC